GUAGUUUUCACUGAGCUCCCAUCCAGGGGGAUUUAAGGGGACUGCAGGAGGAAACAAGUGGCUGAUUUGGGCGUCCCUCCAGGUGCCCGAGGCUUCCAAGAUGCUCACCUCCUUGGUGAAGAGUGCCUCCAGCUCCUGCUCAUCCAGGACACCAUCACUGUUGAUAUCUGAAGGGAAGAGGAUAGCAAGGAGAUUCAGAUGAUCCACCUGUACAUCUGGAAGAGAGGGAAGAGUCCAACACCUGAGGGCAUGUUCUUUCAGAACCCCCAUCUUGGGCCAGACAUGAUCCAAAGAAGUCACGGACAGCACUAGGGAAGCCCAGAAGACAGCUUGAACCUGGGGCAAUCAGGGAAGGCUUCCUGGAGGAGGUGAUCCCACGACUGAGUCUGAUGCUUACAAUAAUAACCAUAAUAAAAACUAACAUGUAGUGCCU
rnacentral:lncRNA from 10 species